GGACUACCAGGGUAUCUAAUCCCGUUCGCUCCCCACGCUUUCGCGCCUCAGCGUCAGUCGUCGGCCAGGAAGUCGCCUUCGCCACUGGUGUUCGGCCCGGUAUCUACGGAUUUCACCCCUACUCCGGGACUUCCACUUCCCUCUCCGACACUCCAGCACCACAGUCUUCCGCGACCCUCCCCAGUUGAGCCGGGGGCUUUCACACGGAACUUAUGGCGCCGCCUACGCGCUCUUUACGCCCAGUAAUUCCGGACAACGCUCGCCCCCUACGUAUUACCGCGGCUGCUGGCAC
rnacentral:rRNA from 1 species